CAGAUCGUAUCGCGAAUCGAAUCAAAGAAACAUGAUGAUGAUGAUGAUGACAAUAUAUAUAAUAACUGGUUUAAUUUGGAGAACUUUUAUGCUGUGAUAUGAUCAUCAUCAUCAUAAUUUACAUAUAUUCGUUUUAUUGUGGAAAAAUUAUUCCAACGUAACUGUCACACACACACACACAUUACCCGUUAUCAAUCAAUCAUCAUGGCCUGAAUCAUAUUAUGUUAUCAAUGAAACCUUGAAACCAAAAAAAAACAUCACAAGAACAUCGAUCCAAUGGAAAAAAUUUUGAAUUUUCUUCAUGAUGAUGAAAUCGUAAUGAUAAUAAACGUUACAAAACAUGGCAAUAUUGAAAUGAUCUAAUCGUUUUGUUUAUUUAAGAUUG